rnacentral:rRNA from 1 species
UACGUAGGGUGCGAGCGUUGUCCGGAAUUAUUGGGCGUAAAGGGCUCGUAGGCGGUUUGUCGCGUCGGGGGUGAAAACCAUGGGCUUAACUCAUGGCUUGCUUUCGAUACGGGCAGACUAGAGGUAUGCAGGGGAGAACGGAAUUCCUGGUGUAGCGGUGAAAUGCGCAGAUAUCAGGAGGAACACCGGUGGCGAAGGCGGUUCUCUGGGCAUGACCUGACGCUGAGGAGCGAAAGUGUGGGGAGCGAACAGG